rnacentral:rRNA from 1 species
AUGUCGCCGCCAGGCAGCGGCCGUGAGAAGGUGGACUCGAAGGCGGCGGUGAAGCCCCUGAUGUUGACGAUCAAGGUGGUGGGCCAGGAGAAGGGUCCGCCACACCAUGAGGAUGACCAACAAGCUCCAGGUACUCAUGGACGUGUGGUACCACAAGGUUCCCGACGUGACAUAUGGCACGGCAUCUUCCUCUACGAUGGCAUGCGGGUGCGUGGAAAUAUGACCCCGGUGGACCUUGAGAUGGAGGAUGGGGACAUGCUCGAUUUCUUUGAACAUAUGGAUGGCGGAGCCGGACCAUUCAUUAUUGGAUCUAUGUAG